rnacentral:rRNA from 1 species
CCUACGGGAGGCUGCAGUGGGGAAUAUUGCACAAUGGGGGAAACCCUGAUGCAGCAACGCCGCGUGAGUGAUGACGGCCCUCGGGUUGUAAAGCUCUGUCUUCAGGGACGAUAAUGACGGUACCUGAGGCGGAAGCCACGGCUAACUACGUGCCAGCAGCCGCGGUAAUAUGUAGGUGGCGAGCGUUGUCCGGAUUUACUGGGCGUAAGGGGAGCGUAGGGGGACUUUUAAGUGAGAUGAGAAAUACUCGGGCUAAACUUGAGUGGUGCAUUUCAAACUGGAAGUCUAGAGUGCAGGAGAUGAGAAUGGAAUUCCUAGUGUAGCGGUGAAAUGCGUAGAGAAUAGGAAGAACAGAAGUGGCGAAGGCGAUUCUCUGGACUGUAACAGACGCUGGGGCACGAAGGCCAGGGGAGCGAAAGGGAUGAGAUACCCGGUAGU